rnacentral:rRNA from 1 species
GCAAGUCGAGCGCACCUUCGGGUGAGCGGCGGACGGGUUAGUAACGCGUGGGAAUAUACCCAAUGGUACGGAAUAGCCUCUGGAAACGGAGAGUAAUACCGUAUGUGCCCUUCGGGGGAAAGAUUUAUCGGAGAAGGAUUAGCCCGCGUAAGAUUAGAUAGUUGGUGGGGUAAUGGCCUACCAAGUCUACGAUCUUUAGCUGGUUUUAGAGGAUGAUC